rnacentral:rRNA from 1 species
GACAGAGGGUGCGAACGUUGUUCGGAAUUACUGGGCGUAAAGCGCAUGUAGGCGGCAGCGCAAGUCGGGCGUGAAAUCCCACGGCUCAACCGUGGAAGUGCACUCGAAACUGCGCAGCUAGAGUCCUGGAGAGGAAGGUGGAAUGCUUGGUGUAGAGGUGAAAUUCGUAGAUAUCAAGCGGAACACCGGUGGCGAAGGCGGCCUUCUGGACAGUGACGUGACGCUGAGAUGCGAAAGCGUGGGGAGCAAAGCAGGG